rnacentral:rRNA from 11 species
UGCCUGGCGGCUUUAGCGCGGUGGUCCCACCUGACCCCAUGCCGAACUCAGAAGUGAAACGCCGUAGCGCCGAUGGUAGUGUGGGGUCUCCCCAUGCGAGAGUAGGGAACUGCCAGGCAU